CCCCCAAAAAAACAAAAACCGGCACUUUUCUAAUGUUGUACGUCCCUUAUGUUUUUAGCAUAUAAUUUACCAAUUAAAGUGAGUUAUACUUGUAAAUUGUUCUCAACACUACUCAGAAAGAGGUGAACCUAGAUACUAAGCCUGCUUCCACCAAGAGCAUUGUUUCCUUCUUGUGCGACCUCUGAAUUCUUGCAAGGAGUACUUUAUUCAUUUGUCAGUUUCACAAGUAAUUAUUUUAAUACCUAUUGUGUGCCAGAUAUGUGUUUAGGCACUAGGGAUAAAGCAGUGAACCAGACACACAAAAGUCUUGCCCUCAUGGAGCUUACAUUCUAGGGAAGGAGUUCAGAUAGAAAUGAGUAAACAGAUAAGUAAUAUAAUUUUAGAUAGUAGGAGGUGCAAAAAUAUCUUAAUGUAAAGAGAGUGAGCAGGGGCAGGUAGGACUCCAUGGGACAGGUUUGUUAGGGGACAGCUUCACUGGAGAAGUGGCAUUUGAACGGAGACCUGAAUGAAGAGAGGAGCAAGCCAUGGAAGAUCUGGGAUCAUUGUGUGAUGAAAGCAGUUAUCAAAAAAGUUCUCCAGAUGGAAGGAGUGCCAAGUCAGAGUACCAGUGGAUAACUUCUCCAUCGUGAAGGAACCAUCCAAAGCUGCUAGACAGAAAAAGAGAACUCUUAAUUUAGGGAAGUGAUCGAAAAGGAAAAGCUACUAUUAGAGUUGGCUUGGCCGCAAAGCAACCUGUAAGUAAUGGAAGGAAACACUCUGCUGGUAAGGAAUGUUAUGGUCCUGAACGUCUACCACCUGUUGUGUCUGGUUUCUGGCCCUGGCGUACUGCCGAACGUGCAAAAAGCAGCAGGUCCAUCAGAAUUUCCUGCGACUGUGACAGUAGAGAGUCCUUCCUCCUCAGAAAUCAGAGGUCGAUGAUUCCUCAGAAAGUGUUCAGGAAGAGCCAGAGAAAAUCCGUUUGAAACAAGAAGCAUUGCCGGGACAAAGUUAUCACUUGAAAGCUAUAGAGAAGAUUAUUUUUCAAACGGAAGCCUGAUUGCAACACACCACAGCUUGUGUGAGGGUUCUGUUUUCCCCUCCCAUCUGCAUUGUAUCCCCGUGAAUGGUUCCUUAAGCUUAGACCAGGGUGAAUGGUGGACACUUGAACUCUAAGAAAUAAAAAUCAAAACAUGUCGUUAGUACUAUAUUUUCCUUUGCUUAGAACUUUAGUAUAUUAGAUUUAGGGAGAACCUUAGUGAUCAUACGAUAAAGAAAUUGAGUUCUGAAUGAAUGUAGUCAGCUGAUUCAGUGCUCUUGUUUUACAGAUGAGAAAAUUGACAGUUCUAGUUGAACUCUCUUUUUACAAGAGGAAAAUAUGGCCUCAUUUUAAA